GUUCUUUUCAGCACGCCCCAUGGAAGGCCUGCUACCCUUCCAGAUGGCCACAAACUUCAUUUCCAAGAAGAUUCCUCUUCUCCGUGGUUGGAAACCCAACAGUCCAUUUGGCUACUUUAUGGCUCCUUGCUUUAGUUGACACAGUCAACAAACAAGCUAGAAGCAU